GUGAUUUGAGUGAAGUUGGAGCCAAAAGAACAGGAAAAAUGUAGUCACCAGUCCCAGGCCGCCCCGUUGUAGACAAGACCUGCAGCAAGACCAAGGAAACAGAACAUCCCAGACCGAGACCAAGAUGGCGGUGUUUUGGUUGGUGGGGGGAGAAGCCGGCGAGAAGGAAUGGACAGAUACACGCUUUUACGGGCUGCCAGUGGACCCAGGACGUGCAGGCUGACUCCUAAAGGAUCAAGAUGGCUUCUUGAGAGUUGAGGUUUCUGCGUCUGAGGAAUAAUGCAAAGGACACGAGGACAGUGAUAUGAAGACUGCCUGUACCCUUCACGUCGUCUUCAAGUUCAAUCUCAAGACAUCAAUGGCUUCUUAAGAGUUGAAGUUUCUGCGUUUGAGGAAUAACACGAAGGACACGAGGAUAUUGAUAUGAAGACUGUCUGUACCCUUCACGUCGCCUUCAAGUUCACUCUCAGACACCAUAGGAGGGAAUCUGCGGCUUUCCUCUCAUCUUAAUCCAGUCUCAAGCCAUCACAGGAGAGAGGAUGUAGGUGUGUCUGCUCAGGGGAAGGGAAUGAAGCAAAGAGGAAGCAGCACAGGAUGGAGUAGAGCUUCCCAGAGGACUCAAGAGCACUCCAAGUCAGCCACACAGCCUCAGCGUCACCUCCCCCAAUGGUCCCUGCUGUGGUGGGUGAGUCAUGGAAUAAAUGGGGUGUGGCCAGCUUCAUCACGGGCAUAUGUUAUUACCAAGAGAGAUGUGGAUAAUUGUGCUUGAUGCUCAUACAAUUAUGCUUUUCUUUGUGCACUCUAGAUAUGGUCAGGAUCUAAAAGAAUUAUCUAGAGUAUAAAAAGACACGAUUCUGAUACAAUAGUGUGUUUUUGUACUCGAGGAAGGUCAUUCUUGGACAUCCUGAUCAUCCCUAGAGCACACACACUAAAAAUCACUGUUGUAUCUGCAUCAAGUUGAACUUUACCCGUCUCUUUUGGUAGCAACAAGGCGCAUGUGAUGAGGGCGGCCAAUCUCUCUUAUUCUAAGGUGACCAGAACAGCAGUCCCCUCACACGGCCCCCUUGGAGGAGACGCCAAGUGUGCAUAUAUCAGCCUGUCCUCCAAGGGGGCACAUGUGAGGGGGACGCCUGUGGUACCGUUCCCUGGUGCCGAUAUAGCCCCCCACAGCAGGGACAGAUAUGGGGAGAAGAGAGCUGUGUGGCGUUAUAGAUAAGACGUAGGAGGUAGAUGUGAUGCAAGAAGAAGGGGAAGUAAUGUAUAAGGCAUGGUAUAGAUAUAGACACUGGCUUACAAGGGACGUAGUUUAUUUUGAGGAUAUGUUACAACAGUACAAUAGAGGUCACAAUUGUUCUAGUAUACACACAUCUUUUGCCUUACCUCUCCGUUAAACUCGGCAAGUAAAUAAUUAGCGUAAUAAAAAAAAAACUCAAAUCAAUGGGGAGAGUCUCUCGAACUCUUACAGGCAUGGCACAGUUAACCAGCAAACAGCUGAUCCACAGGUGACUCUCCAGGAAGGCGGCCCCUCCACGCUGGCUGCCAGAAUGGUGGGGCCGCCGGACUAGUGUAGUGGUGAUCUGGAGAGUGGUCUUGAUGCCUCGUGUACUCGUCCUCUGGUGCUGCUGGCUGUAUCUUAUUGUUGUUGUGUUCUCUCCAGGCUUCCUCUUCCUCCGGCGCUGGUAACUGGCUACAUCUUGUGUUCUCUUCAUGCUUGCCGUUUCUCCAUUAGUCCUCCGUCGCUGCUGGCUGUAUCUUAUUGUUGUGUUCUCUCCAGGCUUCCUCUUCCUCCUCCAAUCCUCCGGCGCUGGUGACUGGCUACAUCUUGGGUUCUCUUCAUGCUUGCUGUUUCUCCAUUAGUCCUCCGUCGCUGCUGGCUGUAUCUUAUUGUUGUGGUCUCUCCAG